AUUGAACGCUGGCGGCAGGCCUAACACAUGCAAGUCGAACGAGUGGCGGACGGGUGAGUAAUGUCUGGGAAACUGCCUGAUGGAGGGGGUAAACUACUGGAAACGGUAGCUAAUACCGCAUACCAGCGGAUGUGGCCAGAUGGGAUUAGAUAGUAGGUGGGGUAAAGGCUCACCUAGGCGACGCUCCCUAGCUUGUCUGAGAGGAUGACCAGCCACACUGGAACUGAGACACGGUCCAGACCCCUACGGGAGGGAGCAGUGGGGAAUAUUGCACAAUGGGCGAGAGCCUGAUGCAGCCAUGCCGCGUGUAUGAAGAAGGCCUUCGGGUUGUAAAGUACUUUCAGCGGGGAGGCGUUACCCGCAGAAGAAGCACCGGCUAACUCCGUGCCAGCAGCCCCGGUAUUC
rnacentral:rRNA from 1 species